AACGAACGCUGGCGGCAUGCCUAACACAUGCAAGUCGAACGAAGCCUUCGGGCUUAGUGGCGCACGGGUGCGUAACGCGUGGGAAUCUGCCCUUGGGUUCGGAAUAACAGUUAGAAAUGACUGCUAAUACCGAAUGAUGUCUUCGGACCAAAGAUUUAUCGCCCAAGGAUGAGCCCGCGUCGGAUUAGCUAGUUGGUGAGGUAAAGGCUCACCAAGGCGACGAUCCGUAGCUGGUCUGAGAGGAUGAUCAGCCACACUGGGACUGAGACACGGCCCAGACUCCUACGGGAGGCAGCAGUGGGGAAUAUUGCGCAAUGGGCGAAAGCCUGACGCAGCGACGCCGCGUGGGUGAUGAGGGCC
rnacentral:rRNA from 1 species